rnacentral:rRNA from 1 species
GGUACUGAGACACGGACCAGACUCCUACGGGAGGCAGCAGUAAGGAAUAUUGGUCAAUGGACGGAAGUCUGAACCAGCCAUGCCGCGUGCAGGAAGACGGCCCUACGGGUUGUAAACUGCUUUUGUACGGGAAUAAACCCACCUACGUGUAGGUGGCUGAAUGUACCGUAAGAAUAAGGAUCGGCUAACUCCGUGCCAGCAGCCGCGGUAAUACGGAGGAUCCAAGCGUUAUCCGGAUUUAUUGGGUUUAAAGGGUGCGUAGGCGGCCUAUUAAGUCAGGGGUGAAAGACGGUAGCUUAACUAUCGCAGUGCCUUUGAUACUGAUAGGCUUGAAUGUACUUGAGGUAGGCGGAAUGUGACAAGUAGCGGUGAAAUGCAUAGAUAUGUCACAGAACACCAAUUGCGAAGGCAGCUUACUAAAGUAUGAUUGACGCUGAGGCACGAAAGCGUGGGGAUCAAACAGGAUUAGAUACCCUGGUAGUCCACGCCCUAAACGAUGAACACUCGAUGUUGGCGAUAUAUGGUCAGCGUCUAAGCGAAAGC